AUUGAACGCUGGCGGCAGGCCUAACACACGCAAGUCGAACGAGUGGCGGACGGGUGAGUAAUGUCUGGGAACCUGCCUGAUGGAGGGGGAUAACUACUGGAAACGGUAGCUAAUACCGCAUAACAUCAGAUGUGCCCCGAUGGGAUUAGCUUGGUGGUGGGGUAACGGCUCACCAAGGCGACGAUCCCUAGCUGGUCUGCGAGGAUGACCAGCCACACUGGAACUGAGACACGGUCCAGAGUCCUACGGGAGGCAGCAGUGGGGAAUAUUGCACAAGGGGCGCAAGCCUGAUGCAGCCAUGCCGCGUGGAUGAAGAAGGCCGGCGGGUUGUAAAGUACUUUCAGCGGGGAGGCGUUACCCGCAGAAGAAGCACCGGCUAACUCCGUGCCAGCCGCCGCGGUAAUAC
rnacentral:rRNA from 1 species